GAUGAACGCUAGCUACAGGCUUAACACGUGCGAGUCGCGGGGCAGCAUGGGGGUUGCUUGCCAUCCCCGAUGGCGACCGGCGCACGGGUGAGUAACGCGUAUCCAACCUGCCCUUCACCACGGGAUAACCCGGCGAAAGUCGGACUAAUACCGUAUGUUGUCCAUUGACGGCAUCCGAUUUGGACGAAAGGCUUGGCGGUGAGGGAUGGGGAUGCGUCCGAUUAGCCAGACGGCGGGGUAACGGCCCACCGUGGCUACGAUCGGUAGGGGUUCUGAGAGGAAGGUCCCCCACACUGGAACUGAGACACGGUCCAGACUCCUACGGGAGGCAGCAGUGAGGAAUAUUGGUCAAUGGGCGUAAGCCUGAACCAGCCAAGUAGCGUGCAGGAUGACGGCCCUAUGGGUUGUAAACUGCUUUUAUGCGGGGAUAAAGUGGCCCACGUGUGGGCUUUUGCAGGUACCGCAUGAAUAAGGACCGGCUAAUUCCGUG
rnacentral:rRNA from 1 species